rnacentral:rRNA from 1 species
GAUGAACGCUGGCGGCGUGCCUAAUACAUGCAAGUCGAGCGAACAGACGAGGAGCUUGCUCCUCUGACGUUAGAGGCGGACGGGUGAGUAACACGUGGAUAACCUACCUAUAAGACUGGGAUAACUUCGGGAAACCGGAGCUAAUACCGGAUAAUAUAUUGAACCGCAUGGUUCAAUAGUGAAAGACGGUUUUGCUGUCACUUAUAGAUGGAUCCGCGCCGCAUUAGCUAGUUGGUAAGGUAACGGCUUACCAAGGCAACGAUGCGUAGCCGACCUGAGAGGGUGAUCGGCCACACUGGAACUGAGACACGGUCCAGACUCCUACGGGAGGCAGCAGUAGGGAAUCUUCCGCAAUGGGCGAAAGCCUGACGGAGCAACGCCGCGUGAGUGAUGAAGGUCUUCGGAUCGUAAAACUCUGUUAUUAGGGAAGAACAAAUGUGUAAGUAACUAUGCACGUCUUGACGGUACCUAAUCAGAAAGCCACGGCUAACUACGUG